UACGGGGGGGGCAAGCGUUGUUCGGAAUUACUGGGCGUAAAGGGCUCGUAGGCGGCCAACUAAGUCAGACGUGAAAUCCCUCGGCUUAACCGGGGAACUGCAUCUGAUACUGGAUGGCUUGAGAUUGGGAGAGGGAUGCGGAAUUCCAGGUGUAGCGGUGAAAUGCGCAGAUAUCAGGAGGAAUACCAGCGGCGAAGGCGGCGCUCUGGGCCGGUACUGACGCUGAGGAGCGAAAGCGUGGGGAGCAAACAGG
rnacentral:rRNA from 1 species